rnacentral:rRNA from 1 species
GAUCUCAAAUCAGGUAGGACUACCCGCUGAACUUAAGCAUAUCAAUAAGCGGAGGAAAAGAAACUAACAAGGAUUCCCCUAGUAGCGGCGAGCGAAGCGGGAAGAGCUCAAAUUUAUAAUCUGGCACCUUCGGUGUCCGAGUUGUAAUCUCUAGAAGUGUUUUCCGCGUUGGACCGCACACAAGUCUGUUGGAAUACAGCGGCAUAGUGGUGAAACCCCCGUAUAUGGUGCGGACGCCCAGCGCUUUGUGAUACACUUUCAAUGAGUCGAGUUGUUUGGGAAUGCAGCUCAAAUUGGGUGGUAAAUUCCAUCUAAAGCUAAAUAUUGGCGAGAGACCGAUAGCGAACAAGUACCGUGAGGGAAAGAUGAAAAGCACUUUGGAAAGAGAGUUAACAGUACGUGAAAUUGUUGGAAGGGAAACGCUUGAAGUCAGACUUGCUUGCCGGAGCUUGCUUCGGUUUGCAGGCCAGCAUCAGUUUUCCGGGGUGGAUAAUGACGGUUUGAAGGUAGCAGUCUCGGCUGUGUUAUAGCUUUC